AGCGAUUCCAUCCCCUGACGCACAGGCUGCCCUGUCCUCUCCUCCUCACCUUGGCAGCAAUUUUAACAGUUUGCUUUCAACAGAGAGGGUGAGGAAAAGCCACUGUGAGCAUUUGGACUCUUACCCAGUGCUUCCAGUAGUUUUGCUGCCUCAUCUUCAUCUUCUUGAUCAAUAGCCACUUGUUUUUUACAAACCCAGAAGUAGGAUAAUAAAGGCCACUCCAUGACGUCCAUGAGAAGCAGAGCAUAUUUGCCCCACUGCUGUGCCUUCAAACCCAACCCACAGCACUGAAGACCAUCUCAUGGUAGCCAGGAAGCCUUGCAUCCUCUCUGCUCUUUUGGAGCCUUUUGCAUUUUAAAGAAGUGACAGGCUUGACAUACAUGGCUGCCAUCCCUUUAAACCAUUAAACUGCUAUGGAUCUAGUUUAUUGCCCUUGAUUAUGAGUCCUCUCUCUUCACUGAGCUGUAAAUAAAGGCUUUUGACUUUAAACACAGCUCAGAUAUGUCAUGAUUGAAAACAGCCUGCUGCUCUCUCAACAUGUUUAUCUAAUGUCUGCAGGAGUAAGAACAAGGAGCAGGAGAGCAGAUGGUGCAGCUCUCAGUGCAGAGUAGUCUAUGUAUGCAAUAUGUAGACAUCCAGUAUUUUCUAAUGCAACACUCUAAUUAUUACGUAGAGGAUUUUAUUUUUAAACUGCAGCUUAAAUAAAAUGAUUGCUUCAGACCACACAGGCUCAAGUGCAGCUGGAGUUCUAGCAAACCUUUUCACCAGACAGGAGGGAGAAUCCCAAAUACACAGGCUAAGGUGAGCAGUAAUGUGGGACAAAGCAGCAGGGCAAUAAGCUACUGAGGGGAAAAGGGGUUUCCAGUACAACCUGUGACUGAAGAGUCUCCACAGGUUUCGUCUUUAGAAACAUACUGGAGUGGUGUGAGAGGGCUGGUGGGCUUUGAGAAGAGUAUCAGUUGA